AUAAUAUUUUAUGCACACAUAAAAGAUUUUAUGUCAUUGUACGAUUUCUUAAUUGUUGAACAUUAUAUUGGUUCAAGCCUUAUAUUUAAUUACUUGUGUAUAACCUCAGUGUGGGGUCACAUGGGCUCUUUUGACCAAUCAAAUUCAGUGUUGGCCAUUGUGGCCCUUUGUAUCCUUUUAGACUAACGAGGAAUCCAAUAUGGUCGAAAUUAACAAUUACGCUCUUAGGCGAUACUUCCAAGGAUUAAUUUUAAUAGGAUAUGAUGCCGUUUCAUUCCGUUUAUGUGAAGGAUUAUCUCUCGUUGUACGAAGACUUACACCAAUGGUGUUAUCCCGUGUGAUACUAAGUUUAAAGGGCAGUUGAACGAGUACACAUGCUUAUCACUAUCAGUGCCGUGUGCAGAAAACUUUGCGACGUAUACGCAGUCUACCGUGAAAGGUUUCCAAGAUGGCGGCGCCCACAGCGUAAUUAGCGCAUAUCGCCAGUCACUUUUUUUAUGCUGAUCAGCUACACAGUUGUCGCUGCCCUGUAUCAGUCAUACUGAUUCAGUUCAGAUAAGUAUUCAAAUAUCGUGUUAACAUUUGUGCCUGACUUUAAGUUCUGGCUGUUUAAAUUAUUAUUUUUUCUGCCUUUUUAAGAAUGAUGAUCAAUUCGGGUCAGCUCUAUAUAUCUUGUAUAUUUAUUAUUGUCUUAUUUAAUUUAAAGUUCAGCCUGGGCUUAUACUUUAUGAAUAUUUACGACACAUUUGUAUUGUCAGUUUAGCUGGGUUUCCCACUGUCACAUUAACAGAUGUCUUCACGUUUUUAUGAAAUAAACAAUGAAACACCCUUUCAUUUUAGUCUAUAUUACCAUACCUCAUUUAUAUGGUCAACGUGUGUAUUUUAAAAUUCUUGUGAUGUGUUUUGUUGUGCUAUUGUUGUUCAUGUUUUCUUUAUGGCAAUUAUUUGGUCGUAAUAUUUUCAUUAACAUAUCCUUGUUAAGUCUGUAACUACUAAAAACUAUAAGUAAUUUUAAUAUUCUUAAAAGCUUCAUAUUCAUAUAUAUAUAUAUAUAUAUAUCUUAUUUGUAUGUGGCGUGGUGUGUCUUAUAGUCACAAUGUAAUUUUAACCUUCCAAGUUUUGUCUUGUAGUCACAUCUGGUCAGUCUAUUUUUGACUUGUAGUCACAAUAGUUCACAUAAGGUUAUACCCAAGGAGUGUCCGUAAAGGUGACCGGUAGCUGCAGAAUCCCCCAGCCCGAGCCAGAGAACAGAAAUAUCCUUUCACGUAUCCUUCAGCCAUGCCUACCUCUCAACACCGCAAUACAAAGGACCUGUCCGCUGGCUGGCACUUCCUGUACAAGUACUACAAAGGGGCGAUAAGGCACGUUCCCAGCCCUUCCUUUGAACACUACAUUAACCUGCCUACCUCUCAACACCCCAAUACAGAGGACCUGUCCGCUGGCUGGCACUUCCUGUACAAGUACUACAAUGGGACGAUAAGGCACGUUUUCAGCCCUUCCUAUCGAACACUACAUUAAACCACGAAGGACCAGAACGAACAAUUACGGCUAGAAACAGGAAGACUUCACUCUUCAGAACAUUGUGUUUUAUCUAGUGAUCUUCAGUUUUUUAGUUUUAUAUGUCAUACUUAUACAUUUUUAAUGUUAUGUCCGAUUAUAGUUAUCAGCUCAGGCUGAUACUAAUGGUUUAGUUCUCUCCGAAGUAAGUAUGUAUAUGCCUGAUUAAAAUUUUUUCAGUUUAGUCUGAUAUUGAUGUUAUAGUUCUCUACGAAGGAACUAUUUUUAUGCAGGCCUUGAUUAUAUUUUUCAAUAUUCGGCCUGAUUUUGCUUAUACCGUUCAGGCUGAUAUUGUUGUUAUAGUUCUCUACGCAGGAACUAUGUUUAUGAAGGCCUUGCUUAUUCAUUUUUCAAUAUUUGGCCUGAUUUUGCUUAUACCGUUCAGGCUGAUAUUGUUAUUAUAGUUCUCUACGCAGAACUAUGUUUAUGCAGGCCUUGCUUAUUUAUUUUUCAAUAUUUGGCCUGAUUUUGCUUAUACCGUUCAGGCUGAUAUUGUUAUUAUAGUUCUCUACGCAGAACAAUAUUAUAGUUCUCUACGCAGAACUAUGUUUAUGCAGGCCUUGCUUUUAUAUUUUCCAUUAUUCAGCCUGAUUUUAGUUAUACCGUUCAGGCUGAUAUGGAUGUUAUAGUUCUCUACGCAGAACUAUUUUUAUGCAGGCCUUGCUUAUUAUUAUUUUCCAAUAUUCAGCCUGAGUUUAGUUGGACCGUUCAGGCCGAUAUUGAUAUUUUAGUUCUCUACGCAGAACUAUGUUUAUGCAGGCCUUGCUUAUUAUUAUUUUCCAAUAUUCAGCCUGAUUUUAGUUGGACUGUUCAGGCCGAUAUUGAUAUCUUAGUUCUCUACGAAGGAACUAUGUUUAUGCAGGCUUUGCUUAUUAUAUUUUACAAUAUUCAGCCUGAUUUUAGUUGGACCGUUCAGGCCGAUAUUGAGAUUUUAGUUCUCUACGAAGGAACUAUAUUUAUUCAGGCUGUGCAUAUAUUUUUCUAUAUUCAAACUGAUUUUCAGUAUUCCAUUCAGGCUGAUAUUGAUGUUAUGGUUCUCUACGAAGGAACUAUGUUUUAUGCAACCCUCGCUUAUAUUUUUCAGUAUUCUUCCUGAUUUUAGUUAUUCUGUUCAGGACGAUAUUGAGGAUAUAGUUCUCUACGAAGGAACUAAAUUUAUGCAUGAUUUUAGUUAUUCAGUUCAGUCCAUGCUUAUAUUUUUCAAUAUUCUGCAGGAUUUUAGUUAUUCAGUUUAGGCUGAUAUUAAUACUAUAGUUCUCUACGAAGGAGCUAUUUUACCUAAGUUGGGUACCAGAUCAGGUCAUGCUUGUACUUCUUACAUGUUCCGUCUGAUUCAGAUAUCUGGACAUGCCAUGCAUAUAUUUAUCUUUUAAUUUCUGCCCAGUCAGGCAUCAUUGGGGUUUACACUACCCCUCUAACUAAACUUAUUUCUAUUUCUUAUGACCAAAGUUUUUAACUUAUUUUCCCUGUUUUUCUUAUUGGUAUGUGCCAAUUUUACCGUAUAUGCCAAUCUUAACGGGUAGUUAUUCUAACAGUUCUAGUGUCAACACAUCUUUCCCAUUAUAAACCUGUGUGUUGGCGUAUUAUACGUAUAAAAUUGCCUUCUGCCCGAUAAUCUUCAUCUCCCAAAAGAUGCUUCUGGGUCUAAGAUUUUGAAGCUACUGUUGGGCAUAUUAGUUUUUCAUAUCUCUGAGUUAAAGGGAAUGUCGCCCCACAGGGAUCUGCCACAUCCCUAUGUAAAUAAUCAUGCUCCACUAAGUCACACCAAAUAAGAUCAAUACGUUUCCUAGGUUUUGUCCUCGAAAGCCAUUACAUAUAUAUUUUCCAUCAUAAUCCAUUACCCUUUUUACUUUGCUUACUCAUAAGCGAUAAUCGUUAGCCCAGUUCUUUCACGUUUUAAAUCACGGGCUUGUUACCCGAGCUGUUCCAUAUGGUUAUUCCCACAGAUAUUCCUCUGGAUUAUUGGUAUUUGUUGUAUCUGUCUCUUUAACUGUCUGCCUGUUUACAUCUGCAGCCCAAUUGUUUAUUAAAUUUUGAUUGGUCGCUCUUUUUCAAGUACAUUCCGAAUCUUACUUUUGUCAAGGUUUUUCAUAUUAUGUAUAUAUGUUAACUGACAGUUUAUUGUUCUAAUGGUCUUUUACUCAUUUACUGGUACAUGUACUUCAUGCCAAUGCUGGUUGUCUGUCGGUUCCAAACCACAGCUCCAUAGUUGUACUACACAGUACAUUAUUGCUUUCCCUGUUUAUGUGUUACAAUUAUUAAUUUGCUUUUGUUGUGUUGCUUGACUGUUUAUGUUUAACCAACAGUUUAACCCCGCAGGUAACCUUUUACCUAUUACCAAGGUCUGUUAUUAAGGCAAUGUUUGUCUUUUUUAUCUCAUUGUCUGAUAGUUUAAGAAUGCAGUUCCAUUGUUUUACUAUAUGAUUGCUUACUCCUGUAUGGGUACAUAUUUUUACUUUUGUUGUUCUGCUGUACAAUCUAUGUUUACCUGAUAGGUAAAGGGUGCAGAUUGUAUUUAAAAUUUUACCAAUACCCUUUAUUCAAGCCAAUAUGUGUUAAAUACUUUUCAUAUGUUGUCUGAUGGUUAAUGGCAGCCCCUACAUUGUUUUACACUGGGUUCAUGAUAUCAUACUACUUAACCACUACAUUUUAAUAUUUUGCUUCGUCAGGUUCUUGUACAUUUAAGGUUAAUCUUAUAGUUUAAAGCUGCACAUUCAUUUUCACCUCUUAACAGGUACCUGUACUUAGUCUUAAUUCCAAAAUCUGUUGUAUACAUCUGUUUGGUCAUCUUGUUGGUUUAAGGCCGCAGCUCCAUUGUAUAACAUAUUAUUGUUUACUUUCUUAUCGAUACAGGUAAUUUUUCACCUAUAACAAAGGCCUGUAAUUAGGGCCAUAUCUGUUGUAUAUAUCUCCUAUGCAUGAUGGUUUAGGGCCACAGAUCCAUUGUUUUCCUAUAUUAUUGCCUACUUUUUACAGUUACAUCUUUUUUAUAUUUAUUUUCGUUGCUUUGCUUUACAAUUUAUGUUUACCUGACAGUUUAAGGCUGCAGGUAAUUUUUCAUCUCUUAAUAAGGCUGCUGUUUAAGGCAAGUAUCUGUUGCUUAUAUCUCCUAUGUUGUCUGGCGGUUUAGUGCUCCGAUCGGGGAUUAUACUAUAUUAUUGAUUGCCUACUCUUUUACCGGUACGUUGUCUUAUUUUAUGGUGUGUUGCUUUGCCGUACAAUUUAUGUUUACCUGACAGUUUUAGGCUGCAAGCAAACGUUUCACCUUUUUACAAGGCUGUUUAUUAAAGCCAUUAUUUGUUGGAUAUAUCCCCAAUGUUGUAUGUCAGUUUAAGGCCGCAGAUACAUGGUUUUUUCUUCAUGAUUGCUUACUCCUUUAAGUGUGCAUCUUCUUACUUUACUUUUGUUGUUUUGCUGUAAAAGUUAUGUUUCCCUGACAGUUAAAGGCUGCAGGUAGUCUUUCACCAGUUUUACUAGUGCUUUUACUUUAUACAAAUAUUGGUUGUUUUAUGUCUGACUGGUUAAGGUCGCAGCUCCAAUUAUUUACAUAUAGGUCUAAGUCAAUUUUGUUGACAAUUAGGUUAAGCAGUUCUUAUUAACACUGCUUUUUUCUGGCAGUGUUUUUCUUAUGGAGCAUACACAUAUUAAGUUAUGCUUGUUCUAGUGAUCGUUGAACACCAAUCCUAUUGUUUUCAAUUAAUUUACUUCACUAUGUUUUAUAAUUUGUUAUUAAUUAGCAGAUGGAUGAUUUAAGCCUAGGGGCUCUUAACAAAUCAAAGCUUAUAAUGCUUAUUUGUCCUUAAUUUUCACAUUACCUGACCUUAAUCGUAUGGCUACGUUUAUAUUCAUUCAGGGGCAACUACCCCCUUUUCGAAUUGCGGUCCUCUCCCGUACUUCAUGGGCGGCGGGGUUCCCGUUCCGGUCCCCUUUGUGGCGUGUUUUUACCACCCAUUAUGCCUUUCUGGAAAGAAUCUGUUCUAUUUUUAUCUUUUUUAUGGCAUUUUAUAAUAAAUGCCCGUUUUCAAUCAACAA